AUGCUAAUGCUGUCAGUCUUUGAUCGGCAUGAGAGCAAGAGAUACUUCCUAAACUUGGUCACUUGGUGCAUUUAACAACAUCUGACAAAUCUGGGGAAAAUGUUAACUGUGGAAGCUAAGUCUGGACAACACAAUGAGAGGUCAUUAUCAAGACAAAUGGAAUCUCCGGGCGCGCCAACAUACCUGUCCCACUCUAUUGAAGAUAUACUGAAAAGACCUUCCUGUUUGGCUGAGAGGGAAAUGCAGAAGACUGAAGAGAACAGGUCAGAACAUACUUGGACACCCAAUAGAAAGGACGACCUCAAAUCUAGCCAAUAUGCAGUGUGUCAGCAAGGUCACAGAAGGGUGCGGGCCACAUUCACAAUGGCUCAGCUUGAGGAACUAGAAAGAGUUUUUCAAGACACUCACUACCCAGACGUUCAUACCAGAGACUGGCUGGCCACACGCACCCAGCUGUCCGAGGGGAGAGUUCAAAUCUGGUUCCAGAACAGAAGAGCCAAGUGGAGACGGAAUGAAGUGCAGGAAAGAAACCGCGUCCAACUGGACUACACCACGAGAAAAUGCACAUACCCUCUCAAGCCUUCCUGUUUCUUCACACCAGUAAGCACUCUCCUUCACCUGUUUCUAUCUAUGCUGCUGGCACUGUGUAGUCAUAAAUAUUGUAUUUUUAUCUCCCAAAGCCAAUUAUUAUUUAGUAAAGCCUCCCCUGGAGAGAAUAACAAGCACUGAGAAUUUUCCUGUAAUGUCUAACAAGAUUGUAGACAUUUGUAGAGGGACUUUGCACUUCUCCAUGCAGAACACUUUAAGCUCCUUUAUAUUAGGUUUGCACAUGUGGAUUGUCCUCUUCAACAGGACUUAAACAGGCUCCAAACCCAGAGGCUGAAAUGGUCAUCGCAAAAUAUGGAGCAACCAGAAGCAUCACCUUCCUGCAUCAUUCUAUCCUCCCGUUCCUCUGUCUGAGAUCCGUACCCAAGAGCUGCACCCCUUUGUUGGGUCUCAUCAGUUCCAUGGGCUGCCAUACCAGCCAUGGUUCUCAAACUAUAGACCUCAUCAUGCCAACACACACAGCAAGAGGAUGCAUCUUGCAUCUCAUUUACUGCUUUAUUAAAAUGUGUGCAAAGACUGUAUGGAGAAUUGACAUGGGAAUGUUAUUAUGUGCACAGCAUUGCUUUUGACAAUCGGUGUGUGUGUGUGUGCGUGUGUGCGUGUGCGCGCGUGUGUGCGUGUGCGCGCGUGUGUGUGUGUGUGCGUGUGUGCGUGUGGGUGUGGGUGUCUUUUGAGCUGUAAAUCACUUGAUUAAUCAGAUUAAAGUUUUUACACAGGCAAUCUAUAUGGCAUUGCAGUUGACAAUUCUGUAUCUCUAAGGAUUAUAAGAAGCCAACUAUUUAUAAUGUAGUAAAUUAACCCAGUUAACACCAGUUAACAUAUUUUCAGGCAAAAAAAUGCACAGUUCAGUGAAUAUUCUUUGUGUGUGUGUGUGUGUGUGUGUGUGUGUUGUAUAGAAUACUGUAAAAAAGACAACAAUUUCAAUUAUGAUAAUGCUUAAUAUGUCCUAUUUUUGACAUAUAUCCAACCAUAGCAGAUAAGAUGUCUUCUUCUUCUUCUUCUUUUUCUUCUUAUUCAGUAUUCUUCAGUAGUAGUGGCGUUUCACAUGAAUUUUGUUGCUGACUUUUCCAAUUAUCCCUGAAUUGGUUUAUUGCCACUCUAAUAAAAUGGCUUAUCUUAAUAUGCAUUGGUUCAUGUCAUGAUAGGGUGAUAGAUUAGGUCACAUGCCACAUUCAGUCUACAACUAAACCAUAACUUAUUUCAGAACAGACAGAGCAAGAUGACAAAGAAUUAAUACCACAAUGGUAUUUUAAUGGUAUUUUCCUAUUUCAAAAUAGGAAAAAAAAAAUCACUACAGUGAACAACAAUAAAAACUUAAUGGACACCAGGAACGAAACACAUUUUUUCUGCAUGACAAGGCUAGGUUGUUCCAACUGAAUGAGAAUCAGGUUAAGUAGGUAUAUUGGUCAGCUUCUUGCUAAAAAAAAAAAAAACCCUUCUUGGAUAGGUUUUUUUUUUUUUGUGGUAGUGAGAUGAAGCUAUGAAAAAAAUGUACUGUGGGUAUUUACCAAAUAGAUUCACUACAUGAAGCCUUACAAGCUACUUGAAUGUUUUAGUUUGACUGUUGCCUCUCCCUGAUUCUAAGAUUAUUCAUCCACUGCAGCUAUAUAAACUGACUGUAUUAUUGUUUGUCAGUAACUAGUAGAUUUUCUUAUAUGGCUGUGUACUAUUUCUAAAACCUCUCUGCCUAAACACCAAAACAAUAUAAUAAAGAUCUCUUUCACCUUCACUAAAAUGUGCCA